rnacentral:rRNA from 1 species
UACGUAGGGUGCAAGCGUUGUCCGGAAUUAUUGGGCGUAAAGAGCUCGUAGGCGGUUUGUCGCGUCUGCUGUGAAAACUCAGGGCUUAACUCUGAGCUUGCAGUGGGUACGGGCAGACUAGAGUGCGGUAGGGGAGACUGGAAUUUCCGGUGUAGCGGUGAAAUGCGUAGAUAUCGGAAGGAACAUCAGUGGCGAAAGCGGCUUCCUGGACCAGUACCGACGUUCAGGCACGAAAGCGUGGGGAGCAAACAGG